CUAGAAAAUACGGCCUGUGCUUCACUCCAAUUAUUAUCCAGCAUGCUGAAGGAGAUCAAACUGAUCAACUGGUCCUCGUAAAGUAGACACGCCUGAGACAGCUUCCACGGUGAGAAUCAGACUGAAAGCUUGUGGGGGAAACACACUUCGACGUGAAACAUCUGACACUGAGUGGCGGCUGCUGUUCAUGGUUGCCCAGUCGUUACUAGGCAACCACAACGUGCACGCUGCGAUGACGAGAACGCUGCGAUACAACAAGUUGCGAUGCAGUAGUGGAAAGAUAAAUGGAUUAGCCAGCAAAUCAAGUCUCCUCCCCGGGUAUUUUCUUUGGUAUUGGAGGAGUUGUGAGAGGAGCAGCCAGACAAGGCCCCGGCGGGGAGAGACCUCUCGCCACAAGCGGUUCCGUCGCAGGUCAAGGUCACGCCGGAAGUGGCGCUUGACAGGUCCAAGCGGUUGUUUUGCUCAACGCCUCUCUCGCUGCCCCGGAGUGGAAUGUGAUGGAAAGAGGGAUCAGCCUCUGUGACCCCCGGUCGUCCCCCGGUAACCACCAGAGCUGCCUGGGAUGCUCGGGGCGAGUAACAUAAGACAGAUUCUAGGAGACACUCCCGGUGUGGCACGCUGAGCCCCCCCCCCAGACCCCUUAUCUGUCUCUGGAAUACCUUCAGAGCGCACGUAGACGCGCCAGCCUUGGACCACGGGACACCUCAAGGCACCACUUUCCUCUCUGCCACAUCUGUGUUUG
ensembl:lncRNA